rnacentral:misc_RNA from 1 species
CUUCAGUCGACUUUGAGAUUCCUGGCCAGAAACGACGGAGAACGACGGUUUCCAGGACGGCCGCGUCGGGUGCUCUAGAAAAGGAGAGUUGGAAAAACGCCAGCGGCAGCUAGCGCCAGAAACGCUGCUGUCACAGUUUCCACCUAAGUCGAAGGAAAACAAGUGAAAAGGCUCGUUCAAGUGGCAGUUGCUUUUUUUGGGCCAAGCCAGCGGUUCGUUUCGCUCGACCGGAUCACUAUGAGCGACAAAGGAGCUCGGUAAUGGUGAUAGCAUGACGCGCGACGGAGAAAUUCCAGCCAUUUUCAAUCCGAAAAGAGUGCGCACUCCUUCCGUGGUGGUCACCGGCGACUCCUCGACGAAUGGACCGUACAGCAAUAACAGCACCGGCGGAGCGGGAGCCAGCAGCAGCACGGCAGUGGCCCCUGGAUCGUCUGCCCAGAACGGCAGCGGCAGUGGCAGCGGAGCAGCGGGCAGCUGUGGGUUCAGCAACGUGCUCACCUCGAGCAACCCGCAAAUAACCCACCAAGACUCGAUUUCGUCGAGCCAACAGGACCCCAAUGAGGUGAUCAUCAUCCCGGCGGACACGCCCACGAGCGCACCUGGCAGCCACAAUGCAGCACACCACUUUGGAGGCGGCGACUCCAGCGACACUCAGACGGAGCAGCAGCAAGCCAACGGGCACGGCGAGGAGUCAGAGCUUCGCUUUCGGAAGCUGCAGGCCUGCAAGGAGUCAUGCUGCUCUGAGCUGGCCCGGAAGAUGUACUUCGGAGUGUGCGUGACCAUCCUGAUGACCGCCUCGUGGGUGGGGGCCACCCACUGCAUUAAGUACAUGUACAAGUACCGUGCUCCGUACGACGACUUGCUGAACGACGACCAGGACACUUCCUCGAGCCGCGCCGAUCUGAGCACGGAGCUGGAGGACAUACUGGCCAUCAGCGACUCGUCGCUGCACCACGUCGAGGACGCCACCGAGAUGUUCAACAUACCACCGCGCCAGCCGGUCUACUUCAGCGCCCCCUUCUUCGCCGCCUGGUUCUUCACCAACUUCUCGCUGCUCUUCUUUCCCAUCUACCUGCUGGGUCUGGUCUCCACCCGCAAGUGCGAGAAGCUGAGCGACAUCCUUGGCGAUGUGCUGCGAGGAUUCCGGGAGCGCGGCUUCACCGUGGGUCGCUUCCUCAAUCGCUGCCUCUGCUUCUGCAUUUUGUGGCUGGUCACCACCUACCUGUACACCCUCUCCCUGCACGUCCUCUACGCCACGGAUGCCCUGGCCCUGUUCGCCACCAACGUGGCAUGCGUGUACCUGCUAUCCUGGGUGAUCCUGCACGAGCAGUUCGUGGGCGUCAGGAUAGUGGCCAUUAUACUUUGCGACACAGGAAUAGCGUUGCUAGCCUACAUGGAUGGAAUCACGGAAAGCCGAACCCUGAGCGGCGUGGUCCUGGCCACAUUGGCCGGAGCUGGCUAUGCCGUGUUUAGGGUUAUGUUCCGCAAGGUGAUGGGCGAUCCGCCGGUGAGCCAAAUCGCCUUCAUAUUCACCGCCCUCGGCUUCCUCAACGCCCUGCUGCUGUGGCCCGUGGUGCUGGGACUCUACCUGACUGGCACGGAAAGCCUCACCUCGGAGAGCAUACCCUGGAACCUGCUGUUCGCGGCGAGCCUCCUGCUCCUCGUUUUCCACGUUCUGAUGCAGUUCAGUGCCGCCGUUACGUACAACAUGUUUGUGACAUUGGGUCUGAUUACGGCUGUGCCCGUUUCUGGCGCCCUCGAUGUCAUACUGUACAGUGCGAACUUUGCUGGCAUGAAACUGGCCGGAGUUAUCCUGAUUGGCAUCGGUUUUUUUCUCGUCAUGUUUCCCGCCAACUGGCCAGACUAUAUAACGCGAUUGUUGCGAAGCAUCAUAAUGUUGGGUCACAAUGCGAGCGGUAGGCCAGCGCUUUGUAAACGAGAUGCUAUAGUCACAGGACCGUCCACCAGAUAUGCGCAGCGGCACAUCACGCGCACGCACCAUAUAAGCUAAGAGUUUUGGACAAGUCACUGAAUUGUACAGAAAACCAAAUAAGAAAACAGAACAAGACAAGAUAUAUUUUGUAAAAAGAUUUUCAAAAAAAGAAACUUAAAACCAAAGAAAAACUCUAUCAAUCGAAUGCACCACUUGCCAGAUCGGGAUCGCAGCAUAUAUAUGCUACCCAUUACAAACAUAAACGAAAGUAUUACGCGGUCAAAACCGACUCAUAUGUUGUUUGAGCCAAUCGC